GGGAAGUUUAAUUGAAUUACUGCAGUAUACCAUUUGACAGAUUUCAGAUUUUUUUUAUUUCUGUACUUUUUCUUUUCAUGUCUCUUUUAAAAUCCUUUCAGUAUAACACACUCAGGUUAAGCAUACAUUUCACACACAAAACCUAUUGAGUCAUUUCCUGGUAGUGUGUGCAGAAACAUGCAACAGUUGGUAGCAAACCGAGAACAUCUGAGAAAAGAAAAACGUGUGGAAACAUAAUCUCCAGAGUCACACUCCAUGUAUUAAAUCCAGCUGAGGCACUUGCUGUGACACAAUCACUCACGUGUGCACUUCCCGUGAUAACUUUAUUGCUGACGAUGGAGUUUCGUUACCAUGGCGACUGCUCGGACCCGUUCUCUGUGCCAGUGAGGAGAGGAGGUUUCUCAACAGGCAUAGUGCUGGUGAGAAGAUACAAGAGAACUUUGUCCUGUGGAGUCAGAGGUUAAAUUGGAAAUUUGUUAUUUCGAGGGUUGCAAUAUGCAAACUUUAUACAAUCUUAUCAAUUAACAGUGUAAAAUAUAAGUUUAAGUUAUAAGUCGAGAAAGCCUUCUGCUAUGAACAUUAAAAUGCUGAUCAACAUCAUAGAUGCCAGUGUGCAAUGACACAUAACAAUAAAAUCUUUCUGUAGGCUUGUACCUUUUUCAUUUGUGUCAGUGUCAAAUAUUGGAAUGACGUUGCCAUUAAAAAGAGAAUAUAAAUAAGAAUUACUAUGAGUGGAAGAGUAUUUUUAUUAAAAUUAAAUGAGAAUUCAAAUUGCAGGGCUUCAUUGUCAAGUUCCAAAUUUCGUGAUUUAUUUUAUGAAUAAUUCAAAUGGUAUUUUUUGUUGUAUUGUACAAAAGUGUUAAGCCACCACCAGCUUUGUUGUUUAUGUAAAAACACUACAAUUUUCAGAACAAAAUUGCUUUUUCCAGUAAAAGUCAGUAUGUAGAGUGACCUCUCUUGCCAUUAGACCUCUCUCAUUAGACCUCUCCAAUGACUUGAAGUCAUUACAUUAAAAUGAGAAAUUAGGGUUUUAUUUAGGUUUAAGAGAGCAUGCAGGUUCCUGCUAAGUAUAAGGAGAGGCCACACUAAAUAUUUGACACAUUAUCUUCUAAUUUUUUAUUCAGUUUUUUAUACUGCAUACGAGUUUUCUAAUAGAGAGACUGAGAAUUAAUUAUAUGCUCAUAAAUAAAAAUAUGCUCACUGUACUAUUGUAAAAACAACACAUCUAGUGGUGGUAUGGUGGGCUAACGGUACAUUCACACGGGGCAAAAGCGUUAACGCUUCUCAUUUACUUUUAAUCGGUGACGUCAUGCAUUGCCAAACUAAAUUGUGGAUCUGUCAACGUCGCGUCAUGGCAGAAGUUGAACAUUUCCUUAACUUUUAAAGCACCAACACAUGCAUCAGCCAAUCAGAUUGCCUUAUGCAAAUAAUCUAGUGCGAGCCAGCCAAUUACGUUUAUGCAAGGCUACUGGCCACUUCAGACAAGCCUUUUACACAGUACUGUAUAUUUAACAAAAAGUUGUAAUGUUAAAGCUUGAAAUAAAAUUAUUUUCUUUCACAAUAUUUCUGUAUACUUUAUGUUUAGAAAGAAUUAGAAAUAAGCUCGAAGUCUAGGGAAAGAAAUGGUUAUGCAUGUUUUUGCAGUGUGUUUUGGCUCUUAACACUCAGCUUUAAUGAUACUCAUGUGCACUUGGCUGCAGGUCUGCCUCAUCUCGCUGUGCCACACCAAUUGCAUUUUAACAUCCUUGAAAUCCUCCAAUCAACACAUAUACCUCAGGGGCAAAGUCGUGUAAGCCAGAGCAAAGCAGAUGAUGAGGGCUUGGGGGAAACACAAGUGAGAAAAUUAAUGGUGCAUGUAAAGUGAAGCAUGCGAGUGAAGAUCUAAGAUUAAAUAAUUAAAAAAGGGACUAACGUUCCAGCUGGAAAAUCUGAUGCACAUAGAGUGACUGAUGAUCUGGCUGCAGGUGUGUUUUACUCCACAAAGGGAUCAGAUGUUGCUGUUUGGGGCAAAAUGGUGUAAUGCUGAACAGUGUCAAAGCAUUCAUUCUUUAGGGCUUAGUGGUUAUGGAUUUAAGCCCAGGAGUAAUAGCUUAGCGUUUCGUAAAUUCUGUUAAUAUGCUGUAGCUUUUCUUGUAAUGGUCCGGCUACCAUCUUGAAGAUGUCAUUGCUGUUGGAGCUGCUGGUGUAGCGGGCAGUGCUCCGAUGAGUAGCACAGAUGUACUUUCGGCGACCCGAGUUUGAGUCCUGGCUCGGCAUUCUUUGCCAGUCCUGUUCCCUUCUCUUGUUAAAAAAUCCCCAAAUCCACACAUCUCUGUGUUAUUACUGGAACAACACAAUUUUUAACACUUAACGUUUUUAACUUGUGUUUUAUUUGAACACAAAAUCAACACAAAAUGACAAAUAAGGUGUUAAAAUGACACAUAAUGUGUUAAGGGCAUAACACAAAAUUAUUUCGAAAAUGGCCAAAAAAUGUGUAGGUGUGCUGUAGGUUGAUACUGUAAGUUCUCUAUGCAUGUCGUUUAAUAUGAUGCCAGUUAUUCAUCAUAGUAAUUGACUGAAUGUUUGAUAAAAAAUGUUUGAAGAAAAAGUAUAACCUAUUACAAUCUUUCUAGACAAUAAAAUCUGCAAUAAUACUAUAUUUAAUAAUUUUCUGAUUUUCUUCCGAUUUCAUAGCUGCUUUGAAAAAUGCAAUAUAAAUAAAAAGGCGCUAUAUAAAUAAACUUUACUUGACUUGUACACCAGAAAUCAAGAAAACAUUGAUGCCUUAAAGGUGCAGUGUGUACAUUUUAGCGCAUCUAGUGGUGAGGUUGCGAAUUGCAACUAAUGGCUCAGUCCGCUGCUCACCCCUCGCUUUUGAAACGCAUAGAGAAGCUACGGUAGCUGUCACCGGACAAACAUGUCAUCUUCAGAGACAACUUAGUAAAAAAGUUUGUCCAUUAAGGGCUUCUGUAGAAACAUGGUGGCACAAAAUGGCGACUUCCAUGUAAGGGGACCCUCAGGUAUGUAGAUAAAAACGUCUCAUUCUAAGGUAAUAAAAACAUAACAGUUCAUUAUGAAAGGUCUUUAUACACCCCUGAUAAUAUAGUUUUGCAUUUUAUUUUGCAUUUCUGUCAAGAGAUCCUUCUAAAAACUACAUACUGCACCUUUAAACAAAAAAUUGGAUUGGAUUUACAAGUCGUUUAACUGUAUUGACUGAUGAGUUGCUGUAACUUAUAAAAUAAAGUUGACAUAACUAAAGCAAAUUCAACGUGAUUUAUUAAGUUACAGCAACUCAUCAUUUGUCAAGUUGAUUAAAAAUGUAAGUGCAAACAUUUUUUACAAUGAUAGGAAGCAGCAAUCUAAAUUUGCAUUGAUAAUGUGAGAUUAAAAUUUACUUUGAAAAUGAGAAUAUGAAGAGUUUUGUUGCAAAACGAGAUAAAUCCAUUUUUUAACAUUUUUGUCAAAACAUGUUUAUUAUUAUGUUAUCAUGUUGUUAUUUUGUUUUAUGGUGCUACUUAGCUGUAUUUUUUUAAGUUAUGAAGGUUUAAAUCAAAACAAACGAAAUGC